GCGACUCGAGAUCAGUCAGGUUCUGGAUCGUAGCUUGUUAGCAGAGGAAUAUCCAGGAUGAAGCGUUUGUUUCUGGUAAUCUUUCUACUGUCGAUGUUAGGGUAUUGUCUAUCGUCACACCUGCAGCCGAUGCCUAGUCUGUGCCAGCCUAACGUCCAAUCUUCGAUAAUAAAUACUCCGCUGAGACCGUGCCCUGAAGGCCAAAAACCAGAUUCUAACGAGAUUUGUAGAACUGUUAUCAGCUAAACGUGAUGCCUUGAUCAGGCGAUAAACAAAUCAACAAAACCUGGAAACCAUGGGACUCUGUGUUAAUAAUAAACAAAGAUAGAUAACAAAAAUAAAUGUUAACUCAAAUGAAUCUAAAAUCUAGAAAUUGGAAAUAAGAAAUUACUACUUUAAAUAACAUUUCAGCCUUUUAUUGCUCACCGCGUUAUCAAAGAUUUUUCUUUAUUUGAAAUAAUAAAUAAACUAUGCACGAUGUCACACACCAA